AACGUAGGUGGCAAGCGUUAUCCGGAUUUACUGGGCGUAAAGGGUGUGCAGGCGGAUGGCCAAGUGGUGUAUGAAAUCGCCCGGCUCAACCGGGCGGGGUUAUGCCAGACUGGCUGUCUAGAGACCGAGAGAGGGGCGUGGAAUUCCGGGUGUAGUGGUGAAAUGCGCAGAUAUCAGGAGGAACACCGGUGGCGAAGGCGGGUCUCGUGGGCCGAUGACUGACGCUGAGGAGCGAAAGCGUGGGGAGCGAACAGGAUUAGAACCUACCGUAGUCAGAUCCAAGACCAG
rnacentral:rRNA from 1 species